rnacentral:lncRNA from 1 species
UGUUUUCUAGAUAGUGAAGUGUUUCUAUUAUGUAAAUCCUAUCUUGAUAAUAUUUUAAAAUAGAAAUUGAAUAUACAUUGAAGCUGAAAACAACAUUCUGCGUUAUAAGGAAACAUUUUCAUGAUAUUCAUGACAUAAAUUUUUAAAUAUUUUAUUUGAAAAGCUAUAGGUGUUUCUAGUGGUAAGCUAUACAUGCACUGAAAGCAAGAACUUGGCUUAAUAGCAAGAGCUGGAAUAUCAUUUCUAGGGACGAAAUAUUGAAAGGUUCUUGAGUUACAAAGUUAGAUAUUAUUUAAUUUAUAAUACCAGCUUUGUCAUUUUUUAAAAUUAUCAGACAGCACUUUGCCAUUAACUUGGUUCUAAUUUAAUUUAAGGUUUGAAGCAUUAGCAACUAUUGUAACAAAAGAGGACAUCUGGCUGUGUGCAGUGGCUCAUGCCUGCAAUCCCACCACUUUGGGAGGCUGAGGUGGGUGGAUCACUUGAGGUCAGGAGUUCAAGACCAGCCUGACAAACAUGGUGAAACUCCGUCUCUACUAAAAAUACAAAAUUAGCUGGAAGUGUUGGUGCACACGUGUAAUCCCAGCUACUUGGGAGGCUGAGAGGCAGGAGAAUCGCUUGAACCCAGGAGGCGCAGAUUGCAGUGAGCCGAGAUUGCGCCAUUGCACUUCAGCCUAGGCAAGAAGAGCGAAACUCCGUCUCAAAACAAAACAAAACAAAACAAAAACCAAAAACAAAAUAAAACAAAACAAAAACACAUCUAGCUAUUUCAGUUUUAAAGUGUUUCCAAAAGAUAUUUAUUCUUGUUAGCAAGCAUGUAACAUAUCAUGCUUCUUUAAAAGUAUACUUCCUUGACGGUGCUUUUGGAUCAUUUAAAAAUGUUAUUUGUGUGGUAUUUCAGUUACAGGUGAUAACGUUUCUUCUUUGAAAAUUAUGAGGCCCUGUUCACAUUGUACUCGCUCAUGUUCUUAAAAGAGCAAAACAUAAUUACUCAUAAAACUAUUAUUUUGACAGCCAAGAAUGAAAGUUCCAACAUUUGAUGUUAAUAUUACUUUCUUGCAGGGAUGAACUACUUCCAUCUAGCAGGCCAAGCAAGUUUCCAGAAUGCCCAGCUUUUGAGUGGUGCUUCUAGAUCUGUGGGGAAUAGUAUGACUGUAUAUGCUGGUAUUAAGGAAUUGGGGAGGUUAAGAGGGAGGAGAGAGAGAUGGAAUUUAGAGGCUGAUUCCUACUCUUUGCAUCUUUGGUCUUAACUUCAUUGCCUAGUAUAGGAAGCACAAGUCCAACCUUAAAAUAUUAACACGUAUCCUGGCCAAAUUGAGAAGUGGGUAGAGUUGGCCUUCUAGUACCUCCUAUAGGGCUGGUACCUCUCCACUCUGCCACUGAAUGUCAGGCAUCAUGUAUUUCUGGGUGCCCAAGGAUUCUGGGAAGUACCCAUUCUCUAGUUCUAUUCCUACCUGUGUGUUUGGUGUAGACUCCCUUUCACUAAAGCACUUUUUAUCUGUUCAUUUAUGCUAUAAAUUUCUACACCCUAAAAUGCUAAUAAGUGUAGUCUUGUGUAGUCACAAGAGUGGUUACACAAUGUCCAUUCUAGAGCACU